rnacentral:rRNA from 1 species
AACGAACGCUGGCGGCAUGCCUAACACAUGCAAGUCGAACGAAGCCUUCGGGCUUAGUGGCGCACGGGUGCGUAACACGUGGGAAUCUGCCCUUCGGUUCGGAAUAACAGUUAGAAAUGACUGCUAAUACCGGAUGAUGACGUAAGUCCAAAGAUUUAUCGCCGAAGGAUGAGCCCGCGUAGGAUUAGGUAGUUGGUAGGGUGAUGGCCUACCAAGCCGACGAUCCUUAGCUGGUCUGAGAGGAUGAUCAGCCACACUGGGACUGAGACACGGCCCAGACUCCUACGGGAGGCAGCAGUGGGGAAUAUUGGACAAUGGGCGAAAGCCUGAUCCAGCAAUGCCGCGUGAGUGAUGAAGGCCUUAGGGUUGUAAAGCUCUUUUACCAGGGAUGAUAAUGACAGUACCUGGAGAAUAAGCUCCGGCUAACUCCGUG